rnacentral:rRNA from 1 species
UAUCUCUGUAGAGUCUGCAUAUCAAUAAGCGGAGGAAAAGAAACUAACUAGGAUUCCCUUAGUAACGGCGAGUGAAGCGGGAAGAGCUCAAAUUUGAAAUCUUCAAGGUUCUACCUUGACGAAUUGUAGUUUAAAGAAGUGUUUUCUGUUGGAGUUUUGGUAAAAGUUCUUUGGAAUAGGACAUCAUAGAGGGUGAGAAUCCCGUAUUUGACCAUUAUUUCCAACUUUGUGAUACACUUUCAAAGAGUCGGAUUGUUUGGGAAUGCAGUCCAAAAUGGGUGGUAAAUUUCAUCUAAAGCUAAAUACUGGCGAGAGACCGAUAGCGAACAAGUACCGUGAGGGAAAGAUGAAAAGAACUUUGAAAAGAGAGUUAAACAGUACGUGAAAUUGUCAAAAGGGAAGCGUUUGACACCAGUGUUGUUUUCUCGAAAAUCAAUUAAAAAUGGCGGGAUUUUGUGUUGUAUUGACUUUAUCAGCUUUCUGCACUUUUUUCCUGUCUUUUUUAAUGCACUUUUCGUUUAACAAGUCAACAUCAAUUUCUUUUGUUGUAAAAGGUCAUUGGAAGGUGGCUUUCCUUUCGGAUGAAAGUGUUUAUAGCCUUUGGCUUCUGCAAUCGGAGAGAUUGAGGUCUGCAGCGUAGAUCCUUCGGGGUUAGAUACAUUUGUGCUAAGUUAUAGCUUUUCAUAGACAACAUGUUGACUAUGAUUAAGUCAUGUAGCUUACUCGCUUAUGCUAUUUUACCUACGCUUAGGAUGUUGAGUAGCGACAUACGCA